rnacentral:piRNA from 1 species
UAAAGUAGAACAGACCAUGAGUGGCUAAAA